CUUGCAGUCAAAGUAGCAUCUUUGAAAUAAAAGGGGGCUUUUUUGUUUUUAUUUUUUAAGUGAUUUCUGCCGAUCCGAUCCCUGGCCUCCUUCUUCGAAGCUGGACUCCCUACCUCCGCCCCUCUUCUCUUUCCCAGUCCCCCCUCCCCUUUGAAAGUGCUUUGAAACCCCCAUUAAGAACAGUGUGUGAUCAGACUGAGGAUUAGGGGAAAAGAACUUCAGCUCUAGGGUGGGGCAAACGGACACAGAAACUGCUUUGUAAAAAACACACAAGAAUCCAAAUUAAAACACAGCAACAACAACAACAAAAGGAAAUAAAAAAUUGCCUCUUUUGCCACCUACUUUCAGGUAAUGGAAAAUGAUCGCGACCGCUUGAUGACUUUCUUCCUGCGCUGGGUCAGCCCGAGCUUCCAAAAAUAAAAUAAGUGUGACCCAGGCUGACCACGAAGAACGGAAGAGAGAGAGCUGCACUUCCGAACCGCAGAGACCCGGCGCCAGGCAAGGCGACGCUCCCACCCGCUCCGGGCUAGACCGACCACACGGUGCAGAGGUGGGCACUCCCUCCACCCGGCACCCUGCCUUUUUCUCACCCUGGGGGUCUCCUGCCCCCGAGGCGGGCAACCUGUGUCCCCCAGCCCCACCAGCGCCCCGCCUAGGGCAGCCUCUCCCUGGACUUUGCCUUCCACCAAGAGGAGGAACAGGUUAGAAAUGCGGUCGCCUGCAAAGGCAACCUGGAAAAUACAAAGUGUUUUUCUCUCCCUCUCCCGCUCUCAGCGCCGAAUUCGCGGCCAGUGCACGGCUGGGAGCAGACUUCAGGCUAGCUGUCCUCCGUCCCAACCCCCUAGAGCGCGGGCGCGCGGGGUCGCCUGUCGGGGACACUGCACGGGGUGCAUACAGAAGUCCCCGCAGAGGCAGGCCGAGCCCAAGCCCCGGGCGAGGCAGGUCCGCGGGGAGCGCCCCGGAUCCUCGCGAAGACCCUGCGGGAUUUGAGAAAGGGAGGCUCGGGGAGAGACGGACCCAACUCCUGGUCCGGCUGCACCUACUCCAUGUUGCCCACAACGCGCCGGCCGCGGCGCCAGGAGAGGAAGAGCCAAACGUGCCUCACCGUGAUCGCGGCUUUGCACCAACCCCUCUCCCUUGGAUUCUCUUCUUUCUGCGAUGUGCAAAUAAAUCCAGUCUCGAUGCAAACUUUUUUCCUUUCCAACCUCUGCUUCAGACCAACUUCCGAGCAAUCGGCGGGAGAAAAAAAGAGAAUUCGGAGCCAAAUUCCCCGCUGAUGAACACUCCGGGGUUCGGGGCUGGAGACGACCCCCCUUCUACAAGCGCACGCGGAGUAUUUCCUCUUUUUUCUCAAUGAACAAGAGGCCGAAGCGCCAACGCAUUUUCAGCUUCAAACAUGUGUUACCUGACUAGAUGGAAUUCCUUGAGAACUGUAUUAACAUGUUUCAAAGAGUU
rnacentral:lncRNA from 1 species